rnacentral:rRNA from 1 species
AUACGGAGGAUCCGAGCGUUAUCCGGAUUUAUUGGGUUUAAAGGGUGCGCAGGCGGCCAUUUAAGUCAGCGGUUAAAUCGUGGGGCUCAACCCCAUUCUGCCGUUGAUACUGGGUGGCUUGAUUGCGGUCGAGGUUGGCGGAAUUCGUUGUGUAGCGGUGAAAUGCUUAGAUAUGACGAAGAACACCGAUUGCGUAGGCAGCUGCCCAGACCGAAAAUGACGCUCAUGCACGAAAGUGCGGGGAUAGAACAGGAUUAGAUACACUGGUAGUCCGCACAGUAAACGAUGAAUACUUGUUUUCGGCGAUAUAAUGUCGGAGGUAAAGCGAAAGCGAUAAGUAUUCCCCCUGGGGAGUACGCCGGCAACGGUGAAACUCAAAGGAAUUGACGGGG